GCUCAGCAUUUGGGGACGCUCUCAGCUCUCGGCGCACGGCCCAGCUUCCUUCAAAAUGUCUACUGUUCACGAAAUCCUGUGCAAGCUCAGCUUGGAGGGUGAUGUAAGUAUAUCACUUUCACUUUAUAUAAUUUUUGCAAGUUGGACAUCUCUCUGGAUAACCAUAUUACUCUCUAUCCUUGUACAUCUAAGGAAGAUGGGGACAAUUCAGACAGUCAUCAUUUGGUUCUCCUCUUUCUUAAUACUUCAGCUGUUCCUAGUAGUUCAAUUUGAAGGAAAUAUCAUGGCACUGGAAACUUUUCUUGGCCUCACAUUAAAAUUGGACAGAAUUAGUGACACUGGAAUGGCUGGAAUUUUAUUCUGCCAUACUUAGCAUGUCAUUGGUAAUAACUGUUAUGAUGGUACAUGACUUUUAAUGUCAUGUCCUGGGAUUUUAUUACUGGUUGGCAUAAGCCACAGCCAUAUCAAAACUAAUUCUGCAUCUUUUGGAUUUCUUACAGUGUCCAGGAAGUUAUUCCAGAUGAAGACUUAUACUUUUAUUUUAUUUAUUAAUUUAUUCAUUUUUUGAGAUGGA
rnacentral:lncRNA from 1 species